rnacentral:rRNA from 1 species
AUUGAACGCUGGCGGCAGGCCUAACACAUGCAAGUCGAGCGGAUGAAGGGAGCUUGCUCCUGGCUUCAGCGGGGGACGGGUGAGUAAUGCCUAGGAAUCUGCCUGGUAGUGGGGGAUGACGUCCGGAAACGGGCGCUAAUCUCGCAUACGUCCUGAGGGAGAAAGGCGGGGAUCUUCGGACAUCAAGCUAUCAGAUGACCCUAGGUCGGAUUAGCUAGCUGGAGGGGUAAAGGCCUACCAAGGCGACGAUCCGUAACUGGUCUGAGAGGAUGAUCAGUCACACUGGAACUGAGACACGGUCCAGACUCCUACGGGAGGCAGCAGUGGGGAAUAUUGGACAAUGGGCGAAAGCCUGAUCCAGCCAUGCCGCGUGUGUGAAGAAGGUCUUCGGAUUGUAAAGCUCUUUAAGUUGGGAGGAAGAGCAGUAAGUUAAUACCUUGCUGUUUUGACGUUACCAACAGAAUAAGCACCGGCUAACUUCGUG